CUUUGCGCAUUUCACUGUACUGCAGGGGGGUACACAGGGGUGCACGCACACCUCCCCCCACCCCCCACCCGGCAAAAAACUGGGUCAUUCCUUAUUAAGGAAUCUUCAAAAACUAUGCUUUUUCCAUAUAUGAGACUUAUGACUGCGCACCCCAACCCCCCUUAGGCCAAUCCCCACCCCCCCCCCCCCCCCCCUCGCCGAACUACUUUAAGUGCAAAGUAGUAUAGCCGGACCGAAUGAGCCGGGUUUUUUGCGAGUAAUCUAUUGUUUCCCCAGAACAAAAGCCCUAAAUGCGGGUAAUUCAUUCUCUCUAGACUCUUUGAAAUGGUAAGGAUAGUACUAGCAAUAAGAACGUGCCGCCUUGUACUAACCCGGAAAAAAAUGUAAAACGAGUGAUGAAACAAUAGGAACUACUCUUAAAAUCAGAAGGCUCUUGAAAAUAAAACAUCGUUUAAAACAUGAACGAAAAAAAUCCGCCAUGUUUGCAGUGUAAAUCGCAAUGCUUCAUGGGAUAUCCAAGAGGGAAUACCCAAUUAGCGCAGAGAAAGUACCCAACGCAUAUUAGCUAAACCAAACUGCGAUCUCAAAUCCUUGGUCGUAAAUACAAAGUUGAAGCGUUUUUAAAAGACAGAGAAAUUAUAGAGCAAGAGGUUGCCGUACCGAAGGUGCUUCGUAAACAUUAUGACUUGUAAUCAGAAGACUAAAACAGUUACUGUGACCAUCUUUGGUCAAUGGAGGAAGUAUCCGAAAAGAAACUGAGAGUGCUCGGUACCAGUCCCUCACAACGACAACGUGUUCUUCAUAUGUGUAGACAAAACUAUAAUUCAUAAGCUAGAUCACUCUGGUAUGUAGCCAAAUUUGAUAAUAAACGUCCCGUGGA